GACAAGUGUCCUCUGAGGGGACAACGUCCAGCCUCCCGCCCUCGGCCCCCAUUUCUUGAGUCCAUGUAGGACAUAUGAAGAGACAGCAACAUCGAAGAUUUUAAAUGUAGACACACAGAUGCAAUUAGAUCACAGCUUUCAUUGGUGCUAAGCAUCAGCAGUUCCCAUUGAUGGAGUUCCACAAAAAGACAGAGAUGCCAAACAACUGAGAGCAGCAGUGCCUGACCGUGAGGCAGAAGCACCGCCUCAGUUAAGCAGCAGAAAUUGAAGACUUCUGGCAGUUUGUUACCAGUCACAGCUCUUCAGAACUUCAACUAAUACUUUGAAGAAUAGCAGCAAUUCUGGAACCAGAGUUUCAAAAUAAAUGUGCAUGAAAAUCUGAAGUGUCAUACUUCCUGGAGCCACAGCAGGUUAGUUUGAUACCCAGGCAGGAUCAUAAUUUGGUCCCACACCCCAGCUGUGUAUCUUAGAAGAAGCUGUUUAUCUUACACUUGGAGGAAGAUUCUAUGGAAAAUUCUAUAGGCCAUAACUGGCCCCUAGGGAAAUAAAAAAUAAAGUUUUGGGA